rnacentral:rRNA from 1 species
UUUGGGAUAACCCUCGGAAACGGGGGCUAAUACCGAAUAUUACUGCUGGUCGCAUGGCUGGUGGUGGAAAGUUUUUCGGCUUGGGAUGGGCUCGCGGCCUAUCAGCUUGUUGGUGGGGUGAUGGCCUACCAAGGCGACGACGGGUAGCCGGCCUGAGAGGGCGACCGGCCACACUGGGACUGAGACACGGCCCAGACUCCUACGGGAGGCAGCAGUGGGGAAUAUUGCACAAUGGGCGGAAGCCUGAUGCAGCGACGCCGCGUGAGGGAUGACGGCCUUCGGGUUGUAAACCUCUUUCAGCAGGGACGAAGCGUAAGUGACGGUACCUGCAGAAGAAGCACCGGCCAACUACGUGCCAGCAGCCGCGGUAAGACGUAGGGUGCGAGCGUUGUCCGGAUUUAUUGGGCGUAAAGAGCUCGUAGGCGGCUUGUCGCGUCGACCGUGAAAACUUGGGGCUCAACUCCAAGCCUGCGGUCGAUACGGGCAGGCUAGAGUUCGGUAGGGGAGACUGGAAUUCCUGGUGUAGCGGUGAAAUGCGCAGAUAUCAGGAGGAACACCGGUGGCGAAGGCGGGUCUCUGGGCCGAUACUGACGCUGAGGAGCGAAAGCGUGGGGAGCGAACAGGAUUAGAUACCCUGGUAGUCCACGCUGUAAACGUUGGGCGCUAGGUGUGGGGAGCCUCUCCGGUUCUCUGUGCCGCAGCUAACGCAUUAAGCGCCCCGCCUGGGGAGUACGGCCGCAAGGCUAAAACU